UAAUACAGAGGUCCCGAGCGUUGUUCGGAUUCACUGGGCGUAAAGGGUGCGUAGGCGGUCGGGUAAGUCUGAUGUGAAAUCUCCAAGCUCAACUUGGAAAUGGCAUCGGAUACUAUUCGGCUCGAGGAAUGGAGGGGAGACUGGAAUACUUGGUGUAGCAGUGAAAUGCGUAGAUAUCAAGUGGAACACCAGUGGCGAAGGCGAGUCUCUGGACAUUUCCUGACGCUGAGGCACGAAAGCCAGGGGAGCAAACG
rnacentral:rRNA from 1 species